rnacentral:rRNA from 1 species
UGGGGAAUAUUGCACAAUGGAGGGAACUCUGAUGCAGCGACGCCGCGUGAACGAAGAAGGCUUUCGAGUCGUAAAGUUCUUUUAUAUGGGAAGAUAAUGACGGUACAAUAAGAAGAAGCCCCGGCUAACUACGUGCCAGCAGCCGCGGUAAUACGUAGGGGGCUAGCGUUGUCCGGAAUCACUGGGGGUAAAGGGUUCGCAGGCGGAAAUGCAAGUCAGGUGUAAAAGGCAGUAGCUUAACUACUGUAAGCAUUUGAAACUGCAUAUCUUGAGAAGAGUAGAGGUAAGUGGAAUUUUUAGUGUAGCGGUGAAAUGCGUAGAUAUUAAAAAGAAUACCGGUGGCGAAGGCGACUUACUGGGCUCAUUCUGACGCUGAGGAACGAAAGCGUGGGUAGCAAACAGG